rnacentral:rRNA from 1 species
UACGUAGGGUGCAAGCGUUGUCCGGAAUUAUUGGGCGUAAAGAGCUCGUAGGCGGUCUGUCGCGUCGGCUGUGAAAACCCGGGGCUCAACCCCGGGCCUGCAGUCGAUACGGGCAGACUAGAGUGCGGUAGGGGAGACUGGAAUUCCUGGUGUAGCGGUGAAAUGCGCAGAUAUCAGGAGGAACACCGGUGGCGAAGGCGGCUCUCUGGAACGCAACUGACGCUGAGACGCGAAAGCGUGGGGAGCAAACAGG